UACAUACUAACAACUUUUUUCUCAUACCAUUCUCUGCGAAAUUCCAAAGAGCAUAACCGAACUCUUAUUGUUUUUUUUACUCAUUGUUCUCUCUCUAAACAACACAAGACUCUGAUGUCUAGGGUGAGCUUCAAGCCCAGAUACAUAGAGCUUUAGAGUAAAAAGAGACAUUUUUGUUUUUUUGUGUCGCCCUUCCUAUGCACACUUUUUACAUUAUCGAAAGGGGGCAACUAUCAUCUUGAAGUAGCCUUCCGGCUGCCCAAAAUUGGAAUUAGUACUCUUCUUUUUUUUUGGGCCCUUUUUCACCCACCGAAUUUCGCAAAACAUAUGGGACAGGAUUUUGCAUGCUGUCCGAUUGCAUAAUCAGGAUGUUCGGGAACUCUUUCAUGCAUGAGCAAGAUUUUCAUGGCUUGAAUAGUACAAGGCCAAAUAUAUACCUGAUAACCGAUACAAUCAAUCUCAUUCAUAUAUGCCUGAAUCGAUUGGGUAAGCUUUUACCAAUUGAAACAUGAUUCAUGAAAAUCUCCAUUCUAGUUUGACAGUUUCAGAGAGAUCAGCUAAUUCAAAAGAAAAGAAAGCAGGUAAUAUUUAAGUUCCUAGUGCAUCGUGGUCCAUACUCCAUAUUCCAUGUUUUCUGUACCAUCAAAAUUAAUCCUCGACCUCGUCAUCAUCCUUUCAAGCUUCAGCCCUUCUUCAAUGGUGGAGGGACCCCAGUUCAGGCCCAAAUAACUCAGUCCCGCGCUUUCACUAACCAUACCCAGCGCCAUGAAACAUGCACAUGAAGAAACCACCAAUCCCAAACUUCUAAAUCACAUCACUCUUCCACUGCAAACCUACUCCCAGCAUCAAAUUCAAAUCCCUCCAAAACCAGAGCAACCAAAUAUCCAAACCCAGCAACCCCACAUCUUGAAACUCAAUGCCCUUUUCCCUCUCAUCGUUGGACCAACCCAACGAGGCCCUCGUGCUCUUCGCUUGCAUGCACCGCUCAGGCUGCAAACCCGACAACUACACGUUCCACCCUGUCCUCAAGGCCUGCACCGCCCUCUCCUCCCUUGACUUGGGUAAAAUGGCCCACAAUUUGGUGGCCAUUUUGGGCCAUGGCUCAGAUGAAGGUGUCUCCAAAAGCCUUCUCGAUUUAUAUGCAAAAUGUGGUGCUUCGAGUGAGGCUCCCUGCCUGUUUCAAGAGAAGGCUUUGACGUUCAUGCACAAGAUGCAUGAGAGUGAAGAGAUGCCUAUGCCCAAUGCCAUUACUCUAGCUGUUGUUUUCACUGCUUGUGCAAAGCUAAAUGCUCUAUUGAGUAGUCGAGGCCUCCAUGGCUAUGCAAUAAAGAUGGGUUUCGAGUCUUGGACUCUUGUUGCCAAUGCAAUUCUUUUGAUGUAUUCGAAGUGCCAGAAAGUAUUGGAUGCUUGUAAUUGUUUGAUUGGCUUCCUGACAGGGAUGUUGUCUCAUCGAAUCCUAUAAUUGCAGGGUGUGCUCAAAAUAGGCUAUUUGAGAAAGCGUUUGGUUACUUUCAAUGCAUGGUUUCAGGCAGUGAUCAGGCCCCGAAUUAUGCAACCAUUGCUACUGUGCUUUCAAUAUCUGCUGAAUUAGAAGGUCAAUGUGCAGAGGGUGAGAAGGUGCAUUGCUAUGUCGAGAAUGGAGAGAUCCUUUCAUGGAAUGCAGUUAUUGCGGGAUAUUCUAGGAUUGGUUGGUUGAGUAAAGCCGUUGAAUUUUUCAGGGGUUUGCUUUGUGAUGGGAUGAAUCCUUAAUCCAUAACCAUCAUCUCCUUGCUGCCUCAUUGUGCUCAACUGGGUCACGUGCAUGAGGGAAGGAUGAUUCAUGGCCUCAUAGCGAUGGACAUGGGGUUACAUGGUAAUGUUGCUGUGAGAAAUGCUUCGAUCAGUUUCUAUGAAAAGUGCGGCUAUUGCAUACGACCUGGACUUUCACUGGAACUACCAGUUGGGAACGCAUUGUUGGACAUGUAAGCGAAAUGUGGGUUCAUGGUUUUCAAGAGCAUGUCUGAGACGAAUGUGAUCAUGGGCAAUGUAAUGAUAUUUGGAUUUGCAAAAAAUUAUUGUCCAGAUGAUGCAGAACUAUCUUCCGUGAAAUGCGUGAAAGGGAUCUUACCACUUGGAAUUUGAUGAUUCAAUUAAAUGCUGAGAAUACCAAUCCGGAUCGAGCCAUUGACUUGUUUCAUGAGUUGCAAAAGCACGGGAUGAGACCCGAUGCGAGACCCGAUGCCAUGAGCAUUAUGAGCAUCCUCCCUGCAUGUGCAUGUUUGGCAUCCAUGCACAUGGUGAAACAAUGCCACGCAUACAUAACGAGAUCAUAUUUCAGCUAUGUAUGCUUGGAAGGAACACUCUUGGAUAUGUACUCAAAGUGUGGAAGCAUAAAAUAUGCACACAACCUCUUUAGUACAAGAUCCAAAAGGGACAUGGUUAUGUUCACUGCCAUGAUGGUGGCUAUGCCAUGCAUGCCAAAGAGGCAUUGCAAGUCUUCACCCUUAUGGUAGAUUCAGGCAUAAAGCCCGACCAUGUUGUGAUGACCACUGUUCUCACCGCAUGUAGCCAUGCAUGCCUCAUAGAUGAAGGAUGGAAGCACUUCAAGUCCAUGUAUGACGCAUAUGGAAUCAAGCCCACCAUGGAGCAUUAUGCAUGCAUGGUGGACAUGCUAGCCCGAGCUGGACAUCUCAAUGAAGCAUAUGAAUUCAUAUUGUGCAUGCCAUGUGAGGCCAAUGCCAACGUAUGGGGGACCUUACUUGGUGCAUGUAAAAUCCAUGGGAGUGUGGAGCUCGGAAGGCUUGCUGCGUAUCGACUGUUUGAUUUGAGGGCAAGUAACACAGGGAAUUAUGUGAUUUUGUCCAAUAUUUAUGCAGCUAAUGGGAGAUGGGAGGGGGUUGAGGAGGUGAGAAGGUUGAUGAAGCAGAGGGAUUUGCAAAAGGCUGCAGCAUGCAGUUGGAUUGAACUUCAGAGAAGGACACAUAUAUUUGUGGUUGGAGAUACUUCGCAUCCUCAAAGGCUGGUUGUCUAUAGCAUUUUGGAAGGUUUAGACCAGCAAAUGAAGGAGCCCAUCUGCAUUUUGGAGGAAGGAUAGAAAUGGAAGAAAGGAGAGAAGCAAGGUGAAAUAGAGAGAAAGGGCAGAGACAUAUAAAAGUCAAGGAGCAGAGAGAAGAACAGAGAACAGGAUGAAAUAAGAAAGGAGCAAGGAUUUGGAGAGUAGAGAAGCAAGCGAAAGCAAAGAACUUCAGGGAAAAGGGAGUCGUUGACAAGAGAGAAUGAGAAAAAGGCCAGAAAUAGAGAAAAAUAUGGAAAAGCAAGCUGGAAAAGAGAGAAGGGUGAAAACUGGGAGAAAAGAGGAAAAGAACAGGAAUUGUGAGGAGUGUGGAGAGGAGAAAAAGAGAAGGGAGAAGCCAAAGAAGGAGAAAAGCAAAAGAAGAGCGAAGCAAACGGUGAGAUAAUUGCAAAUGAAGCUAUAAGAAGGAGAACAGAGAUCAGAGAAAGGAACAAGGACUAUAAGAACAGAGGCGGUUGCCUUCCAGAUUUGUUUGUUGCUCUCUCCCUUUAAACCAUUUAAUCAUGCUCAUUCCAUUACAUUCAAAUACAAGCACUUCCAAGCAUGGCUCCUCCUGGGCCUCCACAGUUACGAGUACUGUCAUAACUAACAUGAUAUUCCCAACAAGAAAAUCAAUAAUGGAAUACAUGAUAGCAAACAAUGAAUCAAGAAAUUUACAGCACAAUAUCAGGGAAUUGAAGAUGUUCUUUUACUGAGCAUAAAAGAAAGUAACUAAUCAGAAGAUGAGAGAUGAGUUCUGCCACAUCAAGCUUUGAAGAGGAAAAUAGAGAAUGAUAUUGAUUUGGAAAAGUUAUUAACAUGUGGAAUCUUUUGCAAGAAUUUCAAGUGGCAAUUUUUUUUUGAGAAUGUUAACAUUGUGUUACUAUAAGUUUUAAAUACAAGCAAUAUCCCCUAAUCAAGGGUAAUCGAACAGACAGAUACAGCCAGAACUAAAGCAAAAAGCUCCCAUCAAGAAAGUGAGCCAAGGGGUGCCCGAAACCACUAGGGCCCAGGGCCAAUGGCUCCGUCUUUAGCCAAUUCAUCCGCAAGAGAGUUACUCUCUCGCCACACAUGGUUCCAAGAGACGGAAAUCCCCGAGCACAGGUGGGCUAUUUCUUCAAACACAUGGGCAAGGAUCCAUGGGUAGGUGCUUGCCAACGAAGCCCACUGGAUGACAUUGUGUUAGUUUCCUUCAGCUAUCAGAGGGAGGGACCAGCUUUCAAGUGGCACAUUUGAUAAAAGAAAUUCAGUUUGUCGGCAAGUUACCUGAAAGGCUUUGUCCUAUACAAGGUGUCUUUGUAUGAUUGGAAACUUCUUAUUAAAAUUUUGACUUUGAAUACCAUCAAAGAGGUUUGAUUACAUAAAAGUUUGCCAGGGUCUGCCUAAUUUAUGUAAUUACAUCAAUUAUAAUAUUUCUCCAACUUAGAGAAUAGGUAAGGGUCUGCUAAAACAGCCUACCCAAAAGAAAACAUGGUCAAGGAUUACAUGAACAUGCAACAGGUGAAGUGGCCAAAUGGUUUCCUACUAUGUAAGCAUCCUGGACCAGUCUUUGAUGUUUAAGACAAAAAAAUAGUAGAUAUUUUAGUUUUGAAUAGAUGUGCAGAACUUGUUUGGGAGAAGGACCAACAACAAAGAAAAAUAUGGUUUUCCAUUAAGUAUGACCAUGCGACCAUUGGUUCUAGAAAAUUGAAACUGAAAUUAACUGUGUGCAUUGCAUGUGGUGCAAUGACUCAAUUGCAAAAUCAUCAUUUUGCUAUUUCUUAUUGUAACCCUCUCUAAAUGGGCAUUUUGUGUACUUGAACUCCAUCUACUUUUGUAACUGAGGGAUUCAAUCCCUUGUUUCUGUUUUAAUAGAGCCAACCACGCCCAUAGGCAUCACUGAGGUCUCCACGUUUUUGCAUGCAUUCCAAUCUCAUGCUUCCAAUAUCAAAUUGAAGGUCAUCCUUAUUGAAGUUCUUUAUAUUUGAAAUAUUUCAUCCCCAAUAUUUCAAAUUUACCAUUGAUGAUAUCAUCAAUCAUGGUUGCUAA